rnacentral:rRNA from 1 species
GACGAACGCUGGCGGCGUGCUUAACACAUGCAAGUCGAACGGAAAGGCCCUUCGGGGUACUCGAGUGGCGAACGGGUGAGUAACACGUGGGUGAUCUGCCUCGUACUCUGGGAUAAGCCUGGGAAACUGGGUCUAAUACUGGAUAGAACCGCUGGUCGCAUGGCUGGUGGUGGAAAGUUUUUCGGUACGAGAUGGGCCUGCGGCCUAUCAGCUGGUUGGUGGGGUAAUGGCCCACCAAGGCGACGACGGGUAGCCGGCCUGAGAGGGCGACCGGCCACACUGGGACUGAGACACGGCCCAGACUCCUACGGGAGGCAGCAGUGGGGAAUAUUGCACAAUGGGCGCAAGCCUGAUGCAGCGACGUCGCGUGAGGGAUGACGGCCUUCGGGUUGUAAACCUCUUUCACCAGGGGCGAAUUUAGACGGUACCUGGAGAAGAAGCACCGGCCAACUACGUGCCAGCCGCCGCGGUAAU